ensembl:lncRNA
ACGACACCCUUAAAGUUGUCAUACACCACAUUGUCGAAGCCAGGGGUAGUGGACUUCCUAGUGGAUGGACAGUAGGAAAACAUUUUCUGCAUGCUUCCAUGCAGCCACUUUCUCCUUGGAAGGGGUGUACCUCUUCCGCUGUUCACCAGUUUGGCACGUGGCAAGCCCCACAUGGCCUUGAGGACUUGUUAGGCAUGAAUGCCUUCACUGUUGGUGCAGGAGGGACAAAGCUCUGGCUGCAGGAUGGCCAGAGCUUUGUCCAGGACGGAGGACAGGGCGGAGGGGGCCUGUGCGGGGAGGACCAGCAGUAUGGGUGCUGCCGACACAGGGGGUGGGCCGUAGGUCAACGCAGCAGGUGGCCUCGGCUGGAGGUGGGUGGGCGCAGGAGGCCUCGGCAGAAUGGGGGUGGGCACAGCAGGCCUCGGCCGGGUGGAGGACGACAAACCAAGUGGGCUGAACGGGCCGGUUCGCGGGAGUCACAUCCUCUGGCUCAUCAACAAAUAAUCUGGAAACAUAAAAUACACGUGAUCAGUAUUGAUAUGAGGUGUGUGCUAUUUGCUUUCCACAGCCAACAGGUGAAACAAAGUGCUUAUGACAACUUACCUCCGCUUCUCAACACGUCUCUUUCCAGCCUCGUGAUGGAUGAGCCGGUACUGGACCUGAGGCCGGUCUGGCGGAGGGAGGGAUGUUGGCAGCGCAGGAGCCUCCGGGAACGGUGCGUCCGACAGCACUUUCAGUACUGGAACAGCAGCCACACCAGCCAGCCGACAUCAUUCUCCACAAGCCACCUGAAGGUCUGACCGUCGUACUACCCGAACGUGAUGACUAGCUGACCUUUCCACAGCUCAGCCCCCGACCUCUUGGCAGCCGCCUCUGCUGUCUUGAGAUCCAGCCAUUUAGGGUCAACAACAGUGCUGCUGCGGGCCUCUGCCACAGACCUUGCUGCCUCUGUACAGUACAGCCUGGCCUCUCCUUGCCGGUACAAAAUUAUGUUGGGGUACUGGUGUAGCUGUUGAUGGCUGACAAGCGAUGGUUUAGUGGCCAAGCUCUUCCCGCAGACAUCACAGGUAAAGGUCUCCCUGGCGAUGGCAUGGAUCUUCAGAUGCCUCGCCAGGUCUGACUUUUCACUGAAUGUCUUGUUGCACACGGUGCACUGAUGUGUAGGCAUGUUCCAUCUGGUACAGUAAAACAUGAAUAAAUGAGUACAACUAAAAGCAGAUUAUUUAGAUUGACAAUAUGUAGCCCUUUAUUAUACAGAAAUGUGCUGUUGGUGUAUUAGCCUAGGACAACACGCUCGCCAGAUUGUUAUCUAUGUUGUUAGAAAUUAGCUACUGUUUACCAGGUAUGCAGCGCAUCCCAUGCAACAAGAGAUUAACACGGUCGCCAAAUUGCUUCAUGUUACAAUUACUCUCGCAUCAGCUGUUGUCUAAACGGUCACAUUUACCCAUAUUAACACAUAUCCACAUCAAAUUGACCAAGACAACGUUGAUUGUCGCCGAAAAGCAACAAGUUUGCAGGUAUGCGACGUAUGCCCUUACUCAUUGUAAACAGUGUCGUUAGCCGCGCCUAGCUAUCGUUACAAAACACACAUUAAUCAGCUUAUUAUUUCAACGACCCUUGGGUGAAUAUCAACCUGGUCUCACAGGAAUCCGUGUAAUGACUACGGACGCUUAACUCGAAAUCCGUAGCCACAUCACGGAAACACGCCGAUUUCCGUGAUGUGGCCACGGAAUUCGCUCCAAUGCAAGUUAAUGACACUGAUGUUCCGUGGCUCACACACGGAUCCCCGUUUCAACGAGCGAGUUGACCACGGGGAUUAAUUCAAAACCCGUGGUGGUCUCACUGAAACACUUAAAUUGUCCUUGAUGUGUCCACGGAAGUUGCUCCAAUGCAAGUAAAUGACACUGAUAUUCCGUGGCACACACACAGAUUCCCGUUUCAAUCUGUGUGUGUGCCAAAGUUGACCACGGCGGGGGCUUGACUCAAAAUCCGUGCUGGUCUGACGGAAUCACUUAAAUUGUCCGUGAUGUGGCUAUGGAAUUGGCUCCAAUGCAAGUAAAUGUCACUGUUAUUCCGUGGCUCACACACGGAUCCCCGUUUCAACGAGCGAGUCGACCACGGGCGCUUAACUCACAGUCCGUGGUGGUCUCACGGAAUCACUUAAAUUGUCUGUGAUGUGGCUACGGAAUUGGCUCCAAUGCAAGUAAAUGACACUGUUAUUCCGUGGCUCACACACGGAUCCCCGUUUCAACGAGCGAGUCGACCACGGGUGCCUAACUCACAGUCCGUGUUGGUCUCACGGAAUCACUUAAAUCGUCCGUGAUGUGGCCACGGAAUUUGCCCCAAUGCAAGUAAAUGACCGACCCGGUAUCACGCAAUUGCGUGCUCCUGCGCACAAACGUUAAUCUAUUGAAGCGUGUUCCCGAGCACGAUAGUCCGACUUUUUGCGUGUUGCACAAAACGAAAUGUAAACCAAUGCAUUCUGAAUGGGAGUGUUCUAAGACAAUUAACGUGCUCCACAAAACGGUACGAGAGAGAGAGAAAGAGAGAGCGGGAGGGACAGAGAGAGAGAGAGAGAGAGAGAGAGAGAGAGAGAGAGAGAGAGAGAGAGAGAGAGAGAGAGAGAGAGAGAGAGGCUUCAGAAAGGGUGUGCGCAGAUAGUACAGUGCACCCUAGUUAUGUUUAUGCCAAAACCUAUACAUAUAAUUAGGCUGUGGAAAUUGCAAUAAGUUAAGAACACAACUUCGCACGUUGAGCACACAGCCGUGUGACUCGUUUAUUUUGUAAAAAAGAAAACCGGAAAACAAAGCGUGCUGAAGGUAAACAAAUCCAGCAUGGUCUGUGACGUCAUGAGACGCACGUACUCCUUAGGGACCGCGAUCCCUGAACCACCAAGAACGUAAAUGACAUGCAGUAAAUAACAACACAAUUGAAAGAACAACACAUAACGAAAUACUGUAGGUGAAUUAUGUUACGGUCACUACAAGGCUAUAAUUAUAUUAUUUAGCGUGUAAUGAGACAAUCUAUAGCCAAAUU